rnacentral:tRNA from 1 species
GCCGGGGUGCUCUAGCCUGGGAGGAGGUAGAUCUGGCCAGCCUAUGACCAGCAAUGGUCUCGAGGGUUCAAAUCCCUUCCCCGGCG